AGAACUGUCCAAAAGAAAAGUCACAUUUUCAGAGAUAAUGGAAAUAGAAACUAACAAGUGUGAGACUGAGAAGAGUUUUACAUGUGAUCCGGAGGAUUUAAUACCUCUUAACCGCUACACCUGGGUUGAAAACCCUGCUGCCCCUGAUACUGCUUUUCCAUGUUCAUUUUCAGACCCUUUUCCAAAGUGGGCCAAAGCGACAUGGGUGGAAGUACGUCUGACCAAUCGAGUAAUGACUUUUCAGACCCCCACACCCCCUCUCCAUGGUACACGGGAGAGGAGCCUGUGAAAUGGAAAUGAGGGCUCCAUAUCAGGGAUCAAAUCGAGGGUGUUCGUGUGCAUGGAAUGUUUUUCUCCAGGAUCUUGGAGUGCUGCCAAGAACAGAACUGGAACGAGGGUGAGCGAGAAAACAACAAGGCAGACAGUAAAAGCAGGGUUUUUUUCCCCAACAGGAAUGACUGUGUGAAGAGGCAAUAUUUAUGGCUUGUGGCGCCCGCGUCAGCUGAUUAGGUGUACCGACAAGGCGCAUGGUAAUUGCUUUAAAAUUUCCAUACCAAAUUCAGCAAUGAAGAAGGAAAGGAAGAUAUUAUGGCAUCAAAAUUCAGAAGUGGAUGGUGGGAUGCUUUACAGUCUAUACCAGCAAAGAUAAAAUUACAGUUCUAGUGUGGUUUCAGCCAGGACAUGGAUAUACUGUAUGUAAAAAUAUUUUGCAUUUAUUUCUGACAGUGAUUUUCAAUGGUUUUCAUUUAUGUACUCUGAACCUGACCUGGUACCCUUGCCUGCCCAUAUAUGGGCCUUAUCAGGAAGAAUAUUCAAGCAGCU